AUCCAGCUGACGAGUCCCAAAUAGGACGAAACGCGCGUUCUGAAU
rfam:Schistosoma mattheei strain Denwood, Zambia genome assembly, scaffold: SMTD_scaffold0014649